rnacentral:rRNA from 1 species
AUGUGCAACACAAAAAUGGGGACAUCAGUUGUGCGCAAUCAUCUCAAGAGCAAAGGUUGUAGCAAGAGACGUGGAGCAGCUGACCCUUCUUCAAGCACCGCCGAUGCUACUACAAUUCCUAUGCCUGUUGCAACCGGCCGCAGAAAAAGGAUGAGAACUGAUCAGGAGUCAACACACAUCACCACAGCUAACCCAAACGGGUGGAACAAGGAGGCAUUUUUUGAAAGGAUACAAGACAUCACUAGUCAGCUGCUAGUCAAGCGAGAGGCUGUCACAACGCUUCUCAUGAUACUUGGGUCAGACUCUGGUGGUGCAAGUUCAAAUCACUUUCAGCAUACAAUCUCAGAUCCACGACGAAGAACAUCAAGUCUUUUCCAAGGGAAAGUGUAUGGGAGAGCUGCAGAGGAGAGAUCCAUCAAAAAGUUGAUUGAAAAACACAAAUCAACUGCAGGUGUAACUGUUCUGCCUAUUGUAGGCAUCGGAGGAGUUGGGAAGACAGCUCUCGCACAGCUUGUGUACAAUGAUCCAGCUUUGAAAAGUGAAUUUGAUCACAAGAUAUGGAUUUGGGGGCCUAACAAUUUUGAUGAAAUGAGACUCACAAGGGAGAUGUUAGAUUGUGUCUCCCAAGAAACACAUGAUUGCAUAUGCAGCUUUCCCAAGCUUCAAGAGGUCUUGAAGGGUCAUAUUAAAUCAAAGAGGAUUCUACUUAUUUUAGAUGAUGUCUGGGAAGGCAUGGAUGACGGACGAUGGAACAAAUUGUUGGCUCCUUUCAAUUCUAGUGGUGCAAAUGGCAAUAUGAUUAUUUUGACAACUAGAAAACCGUUUGUUGCCAAAAAGAGAGGUACAACUGGACCAAUUUACUUACAUGGUUUGAAAAAUGAUGAUUUCUGGCUAUUGUUUAAGGCAUGUGCAUUUGGUGAUGAGAAUUAG